rnacentral:rRNA from 1 species
UACAACGAGAAGCGAGCCUGCGAAGGCAAGCGGAUCUCUUAAAGCUGUCCUCAGUUCGGACUGCAGUCUGCAACUCGACUGCACGAAGCUGGAAUCGCUAGUAAUCGCGGAUCAGCACGCCGCGGUGAAUACGUUCCCGGGCCUUGUACACACCGCCCGUCACACCACGGAAGUUGGGAGUACCCAAAGUAGGUUGCCUAACCGCAAGGAGGGCGCUUCCUAAGGUAAGACCGAUGACUGGGGUGAAGUCGUAACAAGGUACC